rnacentral:rRNA from 1 species
GACGAACGCUGGCGGCGUGCUUAACACAUGCAAGUCGAACGGAAAGGCCCUGCUUUUGUGGGGUGCUCGAGUGGCGAACGGGUGAGUAACACGUGAGUAACCUGCCCUUGACUUUGGGAUAACUUCAGGAAACUGGGGCUAAUACCGGAUAGGAGCUCCUGCUGCAUGGUGGGGGUUGGAAAGUUUCGGCGGUUGGGGAUGGACUCGCGGCUUAUCAGCUUGUUGGUGGGGUAGUGGCUUACCAAGGCUUUGACGGGUAGCCGGCCUGAGAGGGUGACCGGCCACAUUGGGACUGAGAUACGGCCCAGACUCCUACGGGAGGCAGCAGUGGGGAAUAUUGCACAAUGGGCGGAAGCCUGAUGCAGCAACGCCGCGUGCGGGAUGACGGCCUUCGGGUUGUAAACCGCUUCCGCCUGUGACGAAGCGUGAGUGACGGUAAUGGGUAAAGAAGCACCGGCUAACUACGUGCCAGCAGCCGCGGUGAUACGUAGGGUGCGAGCGUUGUCCGGAUUUAUUGGGCGUAAAGGGCUCGUAGGUGGUUGAUCGCGUCGGAAGUGUAAUCUUGGGGCUUAACCCUGAGCGUGCUUUCGAUACGGGUUGACUUGAGGAAGGUAGGGGAGAAUGGAAUUCCUGGUGGAGCGGUGGAAUGCGCAGAUAUCAGGAGGAACACCAGUGGCGAAGGCGGUUCUCUGGGCCUUUCCUGACGCUGAGGAGCGAAAGCGUGGGGAGCGAACAGGCUUAGAUACCCUGGUAGUCCACGCUGUAAACGGUGGGUACUAGGUGUGGGGUCCAUUCCACGGGUUCCGUGCCGUAGCUAACGCUUUAAGUACCCCGCCUGGGGAGUACGGCCGCAAGGCUAAAACUCGAAGGAAUUGACGGGGCCCCGCACAAGCGGCGGAGCAUGCGGAUUAAUUCGAUGCAACGCGUAGAACCUUACCUGGGUUUGACAUGGAUCGGGAGUGCUCAGAGAUGGGUGUGCCUCUUUUGGGGUCGGUUCACAGGUGGUGCAUGGCUGUCGUCAGCUCGUGUCGUGAGAUGUUGGGUUAAGUCCCGCAACGAGCGCAACCCUUGUUCACUGUUGCCAGCACGUUAUGGUGGGGACUCAGUGGAGACCGCCGGGGUCAACUCGGAGGAAGGUGGGGAUGACGUCAAGUCAUCAUGCCCCUUAUGUCCAGGGCUUCACGCAUGCUACAAUGGCUGGUACAGAGAGUGGCGAGCCUGUGAGGGUGAGCGAAUCUCGGAAAGCCGGUCUCAGUUCGGAUUGGGGUCUGCAACUCGACCUCAUGAAGUCGGAGUCGCUAGUAAUCGCAGAUCAGCAACGCUGCGGUGAAUACGUUCCCGGG